rnacentral:rRNA from 1 species
UACGAAUCGUCCAAACGUUGUUCGGAUUCACUGGGUUAAAGGGCGCGUAGGCGGUGCGUUAAGUCGGCGGUGAAAUACUUCGGCUCAACCGGAGAAUUGCCGCUGAAACUGGCGUGCUCGAGGGAGGUAGAGGUGCGUGGAACUUCCGGUGGAGCGGUGAAAUGACGUUGAUAUCGGAAGGAACACCUGUGGCGAAAGCGAUGCGACUGGACCUCUUCUGACGCUGAGGCGCGAAAGCCAGGGGAGCGAACGGG